UCGGGAAUUUUGGGCAAUGGACGAAAGUCUGACGCAGCGACGCCGCGUGUGGGAGGAAGCUCUUCGGGGUGUAAACCACUGUCAGGAGGGAAGAACGGCGCCGGUUCGAACAGUUCCGGCGAUUGACGGUACCUCCAAAGGAAGCGCCGGCUAACUCCGUGCCAGCAGCCGCGGUAAGACGGAGGGCGCAAGCGUUGUUCGGAAUUACUGGGCGUAAAGCGCGGGCAGGCGGUCUGUUAAGUCGUUUGUGAAAAUCCGGGGCUCAACCCCGGAAAUGCAUACGAUACUGGCAGGCUGGAGACUGGUAGAGGCUAGCGGAAUUCCUGGUGUAGCGGUGGAAUGCGUAGAUAUCAAGAGGAACACCUGAGGCGAAGGCGGGUUGCUGGGCUGAUACUGACGCUGAGGCGCGAAAGCUAGGGUAGCAAACGGGAUUAGAUACCCCUGUAGUCCCUGAGCGGGCUGGCAAGGCGCAU
rnacentral:rRNA from 1 species